GACGAACGCUGGCGGCGUGGAUUAGGCAUGCAAGUCGGACGGUAGGGCUUUAUCGUAAGAUAGAGUUUGAGAGUGGCGAACGGGUGAGUAACACGUAGGAAUCUACCCUUAAGACGGGGACAACCCAGGGAAACUUGGGCUAAUACCGGAUGAGAGUGCGAGAGAUUGCAUUUAAAAGGAUGGCGAAAGUUGUCGCUUAGGGAUGAGCCUGCGGUCUAUUAGUUAGUUGGUGAGGUAAGAGCUCACCAAGGCGAUGAUAGAUAGGCGGCCUUAACGGGUGGUCGCCCACACUGGGAUUGAGAUACGGCCCAGACUCCUACGGGAGGCAGCAGUCGAGAAUAGUCUACAAUGGUCGGAAGACUGAUAGUGCGACGCCGCGUGAACGAUGAAUCCCUUCGGGGUGUAAAGUUCUUUUAUAUGUGAGCAGUGCUUCUUAUAUUAACAGUAUGGGGAAGAGAUAUUAGCAUAUGAAUAAGCAACGGCUAACUCCGUGCCAGC
rnacentral:rRNA from 1 species